rnacentral:rRNA from 1 species
GACGAACGCUGGCGGCGUGCCUAAUACAUGCAAGUUGAGCGCUGAAGGUUGGUACUUGUACCAACUGGAUGAGCAGCGAACGGGUGAGUAACGCGUGGGGAAUCUGCCUUUGAGCGGGGGACAACAUUUGGAAACGAAUGCUAAUACCGCAUAAAAACUUUAAACACAAGUUUUAAGUUUGAAAGAUGCAAUUGCAUCACUCAAAGAUGAUCCCGCGUUGUAUUAGCUAGUUGGUGAGGUAAAGGCUCACCAAGGCGAUGAUACAUAGCCGACCUGAGAGGGGGAUCGGCCACAUUGGGACUGAGACACGGCCCAAACUCCUACGGGAGGCAGCAGUAGGGAAUCUUCGGCAAUGGACGAAAGUCUGACCGAGCAACGCCGCGUGAGUGAAGAAGGUUUUCGGAUCGUAAAACUCUGUUGGUAGAGAAGAACGUUGGUGAGAGUGGAAAGCUCAUCAAGUGACGGUAACUACCCAGAAAGGGACGGCUAACUACG